CAACUAAGGGUUCAAAACUCAUUACUAGAUGUCGCAAGUAUCGCCCUUGUUGUUGUUACAUCUCGAAACGAGGCAAAGUGUGCGAAAAAAUUUUUUUUGCCAAUUUAUACUUAUAUUCAUGUGAUUUCAAAUACCGAAUUUAAGUUCAUAUCUAAUAUGCAUAUUGUUAGUCAUUCAAACAUGUUGACUUAGCACUCAGUCAAUUUCCAUCCAUAUUUAGGCCCAUCAUGCUGUCAAAAGCCUAAAACUCAUGCUUGAAGCACACAUGUAGUGGAACACAAAUGUGCUGAUAUUAGAAUCUAUUUUGGCGGUGUAACCUGCAACAGCAUUUUUUGUUAUGGAUGUUUCUUCUUCUGUUUAGAAGGCAAACCAGCUGAGGGAUAGAGUUUCAGUGACAUGAAGAGUGUGAAGUGAAUAAUCUGCAAUGUGAAUGUUCAUGUACCAGAUCUGUACAUGAAUACAGAAAUAUAAUAGGAAACAAUUUUAUUUUUUAAAUCCAUAAUUCCAUAUAGCCAUAAUCAUUUUAUUCUUUCCAACAAAUGCGCAACCACGAAAGUUAUGAAUUUCGCUUUGGGAUCUAUGGAGUUGGCGCUGGUUGCCGUUACUGGCCUUUAGCGACGUCUUGAUAUCAGUUUGGAAAAAUAGCUCUGUGGACUCUAGGGAAUCCGCACUCAUACUCGAGACAGGUCGGCCAGUUUGUCCAGACAGGAUGUCCUUCUCGCUUGAAGGUCACGAGAAAUUUUACGUAAAACUGGCAUGCGGUGGUUUAGAGGUUGGGUGAGAAUGACACGUGUUUCGUCAUUCUCAAAGCAGGGUCAAUAGCCGCAAAGGUAAGCUAUUUGGUAUUCAUUUUGAUAUUGGUUUUUGUAGACCCAUCCCCAGCAACGUCACCUGCACAAAGAAAGGCCAGUUUGCAUUUCAAUCGAAGGUCAUGGAGAUCUUUAAGUAAAACGUGUCAUGCAGUGGUGUAGAGGUUGGGCGAGAACGGGACGUUUUACAUCAUUAUCAAGAAGGUAAAAUAACCGCAAGGCUUAAGAGGAGGGGUGAGAAAAAGUCGUAUAAAAGGAGAGAGAAAAAUCGACAGGUAUCAGUCGAGCGAGUACCUCCGACACGGUAACAGCUGCUCCAUUUGCCAUCAGCUGCAUUCUUAAUCGUGUAUCAGUUUUCAAACAUGGUCGUACAAAAGGGCAAGGAAAAGGCGAAAUAAUUCAGCAGCCGAGUGAGCAUCUCCGACACGGUAACAGCAACUGCAGUGCACCAUUUGUCACCAACUGCAUUCUUCGUCGAAUUGCUAGUUUGAUAUCAUGGUUAUGGUCAACUAUGGCGUCGUCCUGCUGUUGGGUGAUGCAUCGUUGAUGGCUGGUUCAGCCACUGCCCAUUGGUGUGCCGAUGACUCCUGGUAAGGCGGAUAACAAAUUGCAACCCCGCCACCUUACUACACAACAUACAACACGACCAGUUGCUACACCGUGGCCCCCCAGUACUGCACCAAGGCUCCAGAAUAUUACAUCACAACUUAUGCUGCCCUGAGCUACUACACCGAAUCCUUGCAGUAUUAUUCUUCCCCGAGCUACGCUGCUAAAGGGUCGAGUACUACACCGAUGCUCCGAAGUACUACACCACCAAGGCACCGUAGUACUACACCACUACAUAUCAUGGUCGUAUGAAAGGAGAGAAAAGGUGAAAGAAUUCAGCAGCCGAUUUAGGAUCUCCGUUACGUCAACAGGAACUGCCGUGCACCAUUUUCAUCAACUUCAUUCUUCGUCGUAUCACAAAUUUUAAAUAAAGUUAACUAUGUCGUCUUGCUGCUGUUGGGUGUAGUAACGUUGAUAGCCGGGUCGACCACUGGUGUACCGAUAUCUCCUGGGUAUGGUGGGUAUCAACAACAACAUACGCAAUAACCGCUUACUACACUGAAGAUUGUAAGUGCCACACCACCGAGGAUCAACUUUUUACCCCAUCGAAGCGCCCAAGUACUGCACUACAACCUACGUCGCCCCAGCUUACACCACGCAGGGAGCGGAGUACUACACCACGCAGGGAGCGGAGUACUACACCACGCAGGGAGCGGAGUACUACACCACGCAGGGAGCGGAGUACUACACCACGCAGGGAGCGGAGUACUACACCACGCAGGGAGCGGAGUACUACACCACGCAGGGAGCGGAGUACUACACCACGCAGGGAGCGGAGUACUACACCACGCAGGGAGCGGAGUACUACACCACGCAGGGAGCGGAGUACUACACCACGCAGGGAGCGGAGUACUACACCACGCAGGGAGCGGAGUACUACACCACGCAGGGAGCGGAGUACUACACCACGCAGGGAGCGGAGUACUACACCACGCAGGGAGCGGAGUACUACACCACGCAGGGAGCGGAGUACUACACCACGCAGGGAGCGGAGUACUACACCACGCAGGGAGCGGAGUACUACACCACGCAGGGAGCGGAGUACUACACCACGCAGGGAGCGGAGUACUACACCACGCAGGGAGCGGAGUACUACACCACGCAGGGAGCGGAGUACUACACCACGCAGGGAGCGGAGUACUACACCACGCAGGGAGCGGAGUACUACACCACGCAGGGAGCGGAGUACUACACCAAGGCUCCAGUUUACUUCACUACAACCUACUUUUAAAGUACUACACCACCAAAGGCAUUCGAGUAGAAGCUCCGAAAGCACAUCUCUGCCCCGAGUUACUACACCAUUAACGCAGCCGAAUUAUACCCCAAACUACGAUUCCGCAAUAUUCUACAAGGAAAUUCCUUAUUACUAGAGCCGAAAUUUCUACUUGAGGUUAUUUAUAUUUAUCGGUUAUUUCAUGGUAAUUGGUCGUUGGGAAUUAAUUAUUGAUCUUAAAUGAGAAAAUAAAAGUUUUAAUACGGGUAA
rnacentral:lncRNA from 1 species